CAUGUAUAAUGGCAAACUGUCCGAAAGGGCAGGACGCAAAGCAAUGGGCCUAACAAUGCGCUGCCGCAUUUAUGGCUGCCAGGCUGCCGGU
rnacentral:ncRNA from 1 species